rnacentral:rRNA from 1 species
GUCUACGGCCAUACCACCCUGAACGCGCCGAUCUCCUCUGAUCUCGGAAGCUAAGCAGGGUCGGGCCUGGUUAGUACUUGGAUGGAAGAAUAUAAUUCACUCAGGUAUAUACC